rnacentral:ncRNA from 2 species
AUUUCAUCAAGAGUUGGCUGAGGGACUGGCCCGAUGACGCCGCGGCAACCAUCGCAUUUUGCGAAACGGUGCCAAUUCCAUCAGGAUUUUUCCUGACAGAUGAAAG